AUCGCAUCAAUACGAGUCAAUAUAAAUCAAUCCGUGCAAUAUGCCUAGUCAGAGCAGACAGGCUUGACAGGAUGCAGGUCAGCUAAUUCCAGUGGUGUUCUAUCGAAAUUCAUUCUAAAAUGUUCACUACAGUGCAUUCUCCCUGUUAAAUCAAUUAAAAUAUCUGUAGAACCAAAUAAGUGCAAGUCUAGGGAACAGAUCAUUCCUAAAGAGUGAUCUUGGUACCUAGGCCAAUUUAUGCAAUGAUCCCGCCUUCCCCAUGGACAUCCUGGUAAAAAUGCAUUAAGACUUUCACAACUGACAAGUACAUACAUAUGCAGGAGAUACUGUGUUGAAGAGUGAACGCAGCUUGCCUUGAUGCGUCGAGCUGAACUACCAUGCUAGAUAUUUAAGCAUAUUUAAGAUAUUUAUUGCUAUUAUAAACUGGUUUAUAUACCACAACCCCCCAGGAGGUGCCUUAUUGCUAUUAUAAACUGGUUUAUAUACCACAACCCCCCAGGAGGUGCCUUAUUGCUAUUAUAAACUGGUUUAUAUACCACAACCCCCCAGGAGGUGCCUUAUUGCUAUUAUAAACUGGUUUAUAUACCACAACCCCCCAGGAGGUGCCUUAUUGCUAUUAUAAACUGGUUUAUAUACCACAACCCCCCAGGAGGUGCCUUAUUGCUAUUAUAAACUGGUUUAUAUACCACAACCCCCCAGGAGGUGCCUUAUUGCUAUUAUAAACUGGUUUAUAUACCACAACCCCCCAGGAGGUGCCUUAUUGCUAUUAUAAACUGGUUUAUAUACCACAACCCCCCAGGAGGUGCCUUAUUGCUAUUAUAAACUGGUUUAUAUACCACAACCUCCCAGGAGGUGCCUUAUUGCUAUUAUAAACUGGUUUAUAUACCACAACCUCCCAGGAGGUGCCUUAUUGCUAUUAUAAACUGGUUUAUAUACCACAACCUCCCAGGAGGUGCCUUAUUGCUAUUAUAAACUGGUUUAUAUACCACAACCUCCCAGGAGGUGCCUUAUUGCUAUUAUAAACUGGUUUAUAUACCACAACCUCCCAGGAGGUGCCUUAUUGCUAUUAUAAACUGGUUUAUAUACCACAACCUCCCAGGAGGUGCCUUAUUGCUAUUAUAAACUGGUUUAUAUACCACAACCUCCCAGGAGGUGCCUUAUUGCUAUUAUAAACUGGUUUAUAUACCACAACCCCCCAGGAGGUGCCUUAUUUCUAUUAUAAACUGGUUUAUAUAACACAACCCCCCCCCCAUGUGCAGAUGGUCUAUGUGAAAAGCACAGUGGCUGAUGCAGGUCGGAGGAAACAGACAGUGUGUUAAAAUAUUCAUCUGUUUCAGUGAGGGAGAGCAGUUUGAUGUUGGAUCGGUCUCUGCCACCUGUCAGACCGGCUGGUGAGUGAAACAUAUCCCUUUAUUGCAGUGAAUGCAAAUUGAUUGACAACAGUGAGCAGAAAUAUAAUGAACAUUAAUAAAAAAGCCAUUUUGAACAAAAGCGCAUUCAUCCACACCUGCCAAAAAAAAGAAAAAAGAGGCAUUGGUAUGCGAAGGAAUGAAGGCUCUCCAAUUGUUCGCAUGGUGCAUAUAAUAAACUAACUCCUAUAUAAAUGUAUUUAUCAAAAAAAAGUAUGCCAAUAAAAUCCUCCUCAAAUAUAAAGAAAAAGGCCCUGAAAACAGUAAAACAAUCUUCUGCUUCCCAAAAUGAUGAAACUGAAAAAAGGAUGCCAUGUAUCUAAUGAGAACAACAUUUUAAACAGUCUUCCCUCCGUGUGUCGACACUUAGCUAUUUGCCGUGGCAAAUCAUACUCCUGAUAAAAAAUAAAAAACUUCAUUCUAUCAGCCCUGUGCCAUUAUGGUUUAAUGGGAAAAUAAACAGCAGAGGUUGGGUUAGACGAAGAGUUGACUUUCUUUCCAUUACUGGACGAGGAAUAACGAGCAUGAAAUAUCACCCUGCGGGCAGAGCUGAAAAUGUUCAGACUAACAGAAGUCAUUAUUCUCAAUUAACGUGUUGUUCUCUGUCUUGUUUUCAGACAAGGAGGAGACGGACGGAGACCGAGGGCCCAAACACAAAAAGAACAUUUUGCAAUCAAGCUUAUGGGGAUUUUGACACUCUAUUAGCAAUCGUUACGCUCUGCUGAGUUUUCGUUAACAACUCGGCGUAACACCACAGCCCAACUGACAAGUCUGAAUUAAAUGCAGUAUUGCAUAAGGGGUCCGUAUUUUUUCCUGGACUGAUUCAUCACGUUACAACCCAAAGAAAUCUAGUUUUCUUUGAAACUCAAAUAAACAGUGCAUUUAGACCAAGAACGAACACCAACUGAAGGACUUGUGUAAGUCAGUGUGUGUGUGUGCUAGCAUGCAUAAGAGUGUACGGUACGCUGUAUGCUCUUGCGCACACAGUUAACCCCUUCCAACUCCGACUCAAAGUAAUACACUUACAAAAAUGCAUGAAUUCAAACCAAAACCAACACAUUUGGAGUCUUCCCUCAACAAUAAACAACUACAAUUCCCAG